rnacentral:rRNA from 1 species
UACGGGGGGGGCGAGCGUUGUUCGGAAUUACUGGGCGUAAAGGGCGCGUAGGCGGCCUUCUAAGUCGAACGUGAAAUCCCUGGGCUCAACCCAGGAACUGCGUCCGAUACUGGAAGGCUUGAAUCCGGGAGAGGGAUGCGGAAUUCCAGGUGUAGCGGUGAAAUGCGUAGAUAUCUGGAGGAACACCGGUGGCGAAGGCGGCAUCCUGGACCAAUACUGACGCUGAGGAGCGAAAGCCAGGGGAGCAAACGGG